AUCAUUCUGGAGAGGAAACAACCAGGGAGCUAGAGGAGGAAAUGAAAAAGGUUUAUCCCCAUCUUUUCAUCGAUAGAGGUAUGACAAAUUUAGAGGACUAAAUUUUUCUUUUAAGGGGGGGAGAGUGUAACAUCCUUCAUUAUCGAAAUUAUCGUAUAAGUUUCUAGUUAUAAUGUAAGUAUCUAUUUUAAGUUUGAUAAAAGAGCCAAAGUAUGAAUCUGAGAACUUAUUCAUAAGAUUUGGGGGAUUUGUUCAAAAAAA
rnacentral:lncRNA from 1 species